CCCUUAGAUGUCCUGGGCCGCACGCGCGUUACACUGAUGCAUUCAACGAGUUUAUAACCUUGGCCGAGAGGCCUGGGCAAUCUUGUUAACGUGCAUCGUGAUAGGGAUAGAUUAUUGAAAUUAUUAAUCUUGAACGAGGAAUUCCUAGUAAACGCAGAUCAUCAAUCUGCUUUGAUUACGUCCCUGCCCUUUGUACACACCGCCCGUCGCACCUACCGAUUGGAUGGUCCGGUGAAGCCUCGGGAUUGUGGUUCUUGCCGCUUUAUUGUGGCGUGACCGCGAGAACUUGUCUAAACCUUAUCAUCUAGAGGAAGGUGAAGUCGUAACA
rnacentral:rRNA from 1 species